ensembl:rRNA 5S_rRNA 5S ribosomal RNA
UUCUACAGCCAUACCACCCUGAACGUGCCCGAUCUUGUCUGAUCUCAGAAGCUAAGCAGGGUCGGCCUUGGUUAGUACCUGGAAGGGAGAAA